GUAUAAUACCUUAAUUCAGGAGCACAGUCUGUCUUUACCGUAAAUAAAUUCGAAAUUAAUAUGUAAGUUUACUUUGCUAAUCGAUGUUCCUGUAAUUCAGAUUUAAAUUUAUUUGUGAGACCCCCGUCACUAUUUAUAUUCACUCAAAGAAAGGGGUUCUCCGUUGCUGGGAAAAUCCAAGGACGUAUUGUGUUAGUUAUACCAGAGACAUACCAGAGACAUAUAUAUGUCUCUGGUUAUACGUCCUUGGAAAAUCUUAUCUGAUUCAGGAUCAAUUUAUCGGUUACACUCCCCUAUCACCAGUGAUUCUUUGUGAACUGACAUUCUGAAAAAGGGCAAGAACAUUAAAGAUAAAAGGAAACUAUAAACAAAAGAAAUUAUCAACAAAAAUAGAUUUACAGACGUCAACAAAGCCUAAAUGGUCAGACAUCUUGGUUUUCAUGAUCAUCAUUCAACAGGUCAAUACUGAACAGCAAACUUAAAGUUGAUAUUUUUCUACAUAGUGUGACUUUUUUAUUAAUUUGAAAUGGAAUGUGUUUUUUUUCCUACAUAAGAAAGAGGAAAUUUCAACAUAAUUACUAUAAACAAAAAGGAGUCAUAUCAUCAUGAUCAUAGAUGCUCAAGAACUUAAUCAUGUAAAUGCAACAACGUAAUUAUCAAUUGAAAGAAGGGAGGAAUGAAAAAAUAUAUUAGUAUUUUGUUGUCCAAAUGAACUUGCUUUGUCCACUCAUUUAAAUCGCUCCAUCCAAUAAAGAUGUACGGAAGAAGAUUUUUGAAGAACAGAUUGCAUAAAUGUUUUGUCUUAGAAUUGUAGGAAUAUUCUAGUGGAUGAAAUAAUUUAUUUACUUGACUCUUAUAUAGUGGACUGAAUAAUUGUUCAUAGCAAACUGAAACAAGAAAACUAAAACUUAACAGGAAAAGUGUUUAUUUUAUAAAUUUACAAAUAUAAAUGUAAUAUUAUGAACACCACAAAGGAAUAAGAUUCAAAUCAUUUGCAUAUUCAUGUAUUGCAAUGGAACUAUAACAAAGAAAACUUUACCUCAUGAAAAGAGUAAACUAUUAACUGUGCUUUGUCAAUUUAUUCAGUCAGAAUAUGAAAUAUUUUUUUCAGUUCUAUUUUUCAUAAUAAAACAAAGAAGACAAAGAU